GUGAUCACGUUGUAAACGACGUAUUCCUAAUCUGACCAAAAAUAAUGCAUUAAAUCAAGAGUAGAGAGUUUCGUGUUACUGAGUAUAAAGAAAACUAACAAUACUAAGUACUUGAGAAAACACGACUCAGAGGUUUUGGUAGAGAAUGUAAAACCUCGGGAGGAGGGAUUUCCCGACUCUAGAGGUUUAACAUUCUCUACCAAAACCGAGGAGGAGUGUUUUAUCCCGCUUAGAAACCGUUAAACGUUUAGAAUUACUGCAAAUUUAAUUGUCUCCCAUUUAGGGCACUAUAACGGGGAUUUACUACCUCGCUAUUGCCAGGAUAAGCGCAUAGAAAGAACCCGAACCAUGCACGUGCGAUACAUGCGGUAAGAACACGUGGUUGUCUUUCUCAGUUGAGUUCGAGAUGUCGAGCGAGGAGGAAGGCGGAGACCUAUUUCUAACUCAAAGUAAGUUUGUGGAAACUAAGGAUGUCAGUGACGACGCAGAUGAUUUUCACUUUCGUUUUGCAUCUCCAUUGUCUGAAGAAGGACUACAGAGGAAGCUGGACGUGUUUCUGCGAACAAAACUAAUCACUCACUGCGAGCGACAGCUGCAACAAGACUGUAUGAAGCGGAAGUAAGCGAGCAGCAGAUUUGCGAACAAACUAGGCACCGGAGUAGUGCUGUCCGCUUCUACAAACGCACCAGCGACGAUCUAAAGUCCAAGGCUUCAGACAUUAUCGGAAGGAAGAGUCCCCUAAAAAGACAGAGACAGUGUCUUGUGCGCCACCAACUUCAGUGACUGAGACAACUACUUCCGCAACUGAGAUAGCUACUUCUGAAGGUACUUCGGCAGGUACCUCUGUAGACUCAACGACUGAGGCAAAUCUGGAAGGUCUAUCCCAAAAAGGGUCUCUCUACUUUACAUUUAACUUUCAUUAAAGGAUGUUACUGGC